UACGGAGGGUCCGAGCGUUAUCCGGAAUCAUUGGGUUUAAAGGGUCCGCAGGCGGUCAAUUAAGUCAGAGGUGAAAUCCCAUAGCUUAACUGUGGAACUGCCUUUGAUACUGGUUGACUUGAGUUAUUGUGAAGUGGUUAGAAUAUGUAGUGUAGCGGUGAAAUGCAUAGAUAUUACACAGAAUACCGAUUGCGAAGGCAGUCUACUACGUAUGUACUGACGCUGAGGGACGAAAGCGUGGGGAGCGAACAGG
rnacentral:rRNA from 1 species